GAUGAACGCUGGCGGCGUGCCUAAUACGUGCAAGUCGAGCGAACAGAUGAGGAGCUUGCUUCUCUGAUGUUAGCGGCGGACGGGUGAGUAACACGUGGGUAACCUACCUAUAAGACUGGGAUAACUCCGGGAAACCGGGGCUAAUACCGGAUAAUAUUUUGAACCGCAUGGUUCAAUAGUGAAAGACGGUUUCGGCUGUCACUUAUAGAUGGACCCGCGCCGUAUUAGCUAGUUGGUAAGGUAACGGCUUACCAAGGCGACGAUACGUAGCCGAACUGAGAGGGUGAUCGGCCACACUGGAACUGAGACACGGUCCAGACUCCUACGGGAGGCAGCAGUAGGGAAUCUUCCGCAAUGGGCGAAAGCCUGACGGAGCAACGCCGCGUGAGUGAUGAAGGUCUUCGGAUCGUAAAACUCUGUUGUUAGGGAAGAACAAAUUUGUUAGUAACUGAACAAGUCUUGACGGUACCUAACCAGAAAGCCACGGCUAACUACGUGCCAGCCGCCGCCGUAA
rnacentral:rRNA from 1 species